UCUCGCAGCCUCGCGGCGGCUGGGCGGCUUCCACAAGGCGAGGCGGGUCUGGGAUCUUCUCGGCCGACUUUGCUUGACGGGCUGGGCUGGCCUGGACCGGCGGGCGAGCGUCGGACGUCCCGGAAAGGCGGAAGGGGCUGCCGCGGGGCCGGGACACCCAGGCGGUUCCAGAAACAGUAUCACAGGAACCACUGCCACAUGAAGGGUGAAUCGAAGAGCGUGCAGCCAGCAAAACGGAGGAAGGAGGUAUAGAGUAACACACCUUGGAGAUUAUAUAGCAGUGCACAGAGAUGUGCUUCAUGCCUUUCCAGGACUCCACUGGGUGUUGUGCUGUAGCUCCAGUCUCCUGUUGGUAAAUAUUUGAGUUGUUUUCAGUUCGUUGCUAUUAAACGUAGUGCUUUGGGGUAUAGCCUUCCAAAUAGUUUAUUAAGCUUUUACGAGUGCGAUCAUAUUCCAUUGAAUCUGAAAUGCCAUUGAUCACAAGAUGCACCAUUACUUGACGUAACUCCAAGAAAGGAAAGCGUCCCGUCAGUUAGUAAGUGCUGCUGCACUUCUUACCAACCACACGACCUGCCUGCACCCGCACGGAUCCUCAGCUCCUUCUCGGUGCCAGUGUCCCACCACACUGAGCCCCCCUCUGGGCCUUUGCAUCCUAUCCCUCCUGCCUCCCCAGAACCCGAGCACUAGUAGUUUUCUACUGUGCGAAUUCAACCUGUAUCUGUCAGCAGUAAGCUUGGCUGCAUAAGGAAGAUCCCAAUUGAUUGUGACUUAAACAAGGAAGAAAUUUAUUUCUCGGUCAUGUAUUUAUUUGAAUGUCUAUUUAUCUGAAUAUGUAGUAGUUAUUGUAUAAAAAUUAAAAGGUACAAGUUGGUGCGCAGUUAAAAGGUGGUCUUCCUCCCACCCUUCCUCGGCCUCUCGCAAGGUUGGAAAUGGAAUUUAAAGCCACGGAAAUGGAAACGGCCACUUGGGAGCAUGUGUACCGAGAGGGAAGAGGACCCCAGGACGGGGACCCCUGGGACUCCAGCCUUUAACAGCUGAGCAGGAGGAGAAGCUGCAAGAGUCUGGGAAUAAAUGUCAUCGAGGAAGAAGGGAAACCCAGAGACUGUUUGGCCCCAGAAGCCAAAAGAAGGAAGCAUUUUAAGAAAAAGAGAGUGUGUCUAAUGCUGCUCGACAGUUCAAGUUAGGUGAGAGCAGGAAGUGAGGGGGAUGUGUGGCAGCAGGACAGGCCUGAGGGACCUGCCCAGGUGGCAUCUCAGGGGAAACGGACUGAGGAGAAAAGAUGAGCAACAGUCCGGUCAGCGAUCACGGCAAAGGGGGCACGAGGCUGAAGGCGACGUGGAAGGGACAGAGCGUUUCACUCAGAGGCGCUGUUAGGACAUUGUUCGCUGGUGGAAAUAAACCAUUAGGAAGGGGGAAAACGGACAAUUUAGGCAAGAGAGGGGACACUUGCUGGAACGAAGUCCUUGAAGAGGCGAGAAUGGCAUGGGAUCCGUGACCCAGGCGGAAGCCCUGGCCUGCCACUUCAGAGGCCCAGGACCUGGGAG